ensembl:misc_RNA
GGAACGGAAGCUUUAUUGUUUCCAAGGACUCUGCUGGAGGAAUCAUGCAAACUUCACCAUUUCUUUCUCUAAUGUCCAUAUGCCAUAAAGGUAUGAGGAAGGGAAAACAAGACUUUGAAGCGGCUACCAGGAUCCUCUGUAGAUCUCUGGGAUAUUGUUCACUCAUGCUUCUAUGCUGGCUGACUCCUAACAUCAUCACGUUCUUCCAAUUCUCAUAGUAGGGUAGGCAGUGGUCACGUAGGCAGAGCCUUCUGAGCUACGGUAAA